AAAAUUAACAAACCAACCAUGACAGAACACAUAACCUGGAACUGGAACUGUUGAAGCAAACAACUUAAGAACUCAGAAAGGAGAAACUUUUAACUGUCGGAUACCUAGAGUUAUAAGGAAAAAAGGACAAAUGUUUCCAUUAAUGCCAAACUGGCAAACUAGUGCAACAAAAUUAGCAUGAAUUCUAAGUUGCUUCUCAAUAAACUUAUGACCGAACAUGUUACAUGAACAAGUUGGGUUUUGUAGCCUUGUAAGUAGUCUUGAGUUUCCUGGAUGGUGGUCUGACUUUCUUGAACACCAAGGGGAACUUGAUCUUGGAGUCAUGGAACUGCUUUGUGCUCUCCCUCUUGCACAGUUUAGCUGGAAUAGUGGCCGUCUUAAUGAUCUGGAUGCAGUGAUGGCGGACCCUGUGACGUGAAGCCAUCUCUGUGUACAUCUGUUCCACAGCUCCAUUCAAUGUGGUAUCACGGUACUCCUUGUACAUGUUGUGGUAUCCCGUUCUACUCUGGUAACGGAGCCAAAUACCAUAAUUCUU
rnacentral:misc_RNA from 1 species